GUGAAUUUAGUUUAAAAGAGAAAACAAUUGAUUUGCAAUCAAUAGCCCUAAGUUUAAGUCUUAGAAUUUACA
rnacentral:tRNA from 1 species